rnacentral:lncRNA from 1 species
AUGCCUCAUCCCCACAUCCAGUGGCUUAGUUCUGGCCUGUCUUGGUUUCCCUUCCCCUGCCAAUCGAAGUCUUUAAUGACCUGUGCUGUUUUGUCAUGGGUCCUUCUGGGAACCUCUGCUGGAUACGUGUCUGCUAAAAUGUAUAAGAGCAAGCAUUACAACUCUUUAUUUUGCUGGUUAGGUAUCCAGUUCGCACAAACCAGAUUCCACGUCAGAUUCCUCAACAGAUUUUCUCUAGAAAAUGACUUUUGGCAUCAUAAUCAGUGGCAUUUUCCCUUUUGGCUGUAUUUUUAUUCAACUCUUUUUCCUUCUGAACAGUGUUUGAUCUCAUCAGAUGUACUUCAUGUUUGGUCUCCUUUUCUUAGUCUUUUUAAUUCUCCUAAUGACUUGUUCAGAAGCUACCGUUUUGCUACGUCCCUUUCAUUUGUGUGCUGAAGAACAGACCUAAGAAACUAGUGCAUCUGAAGCUUUCUAAACUUGUGUUAUUGGAAUUAGAAGUCUGUGUUGAGAAAGGGAUUGAAAUAAAUGUUAACUACAGGGUUUCUACUACUUGGGA